UACGGGGGGAGCAAGCGUUGUCCGGAUUUAUUGGGCGUAAAGAGCGUGUAGGCGGCCGCACAGGUCCGUUGUGAAAACUGGAGGCUUAACCUUCAGACGUCGAUGGAAACCGUGCGGCUAGAGUCCGGAAGAGGAGAAUGGAAUUCCUGGUGUAGCGGUGAAAUGCGCAGAUAUCAGGAAGAACACCCGUGGCUAAGGCGGUUCUCUAGUACGGUACUGACGCUGAGACGCGAAAGCGUGGGGAGCGAACAGG
rnacentral:rRNA from 1 species